rnacentral:rRNA from 1 species
CAAUAGCGUAUAUUAAAGUUGUUGCAGUUAAAAAGCUCGUAGUUGAAUUUUUGCUUGCCGCCGAUGUCGGAACUUCCGUACGUUCGGCGGCGUGCAUCCUUGGGUGGAACCUGUGUGGCGUUAGGUUGUCGUGCAGGGGAUGCUCAUCGUUUACUGUGAAAAAAUUAGAGUGUUCAAAGCAGGCUUACGCCGUUGAAUAUAUUAGCAUGGAAUAAUAAGAUAGGACCUUGGUACUAUUUUGUUGGUUUGCGCACCGAGGUAAUGAUUAACAGGGACAGUUGGGGGUAUUCGUAUUCCAUUGUCAGAGGUGAAAUUCUUGGAUUUCUGGAAGACGAACUACUGCGAAAGCAUUUACCAAGGAUGUUUUCAUUAA